AUGCACGUACGCUCGACUCGAUUUGCAGGAAUGAACCAUCACGAAAUGGGCACACGAACUAGUAUGAGCUUACCUGGAGUGCUCCAUCUUGGGGAGGUAGAAGAAGGGGCCGAACCCGGCGCCCUGGCCGGCGCGGAAGGCGGCGUGGCUGUGGAAGAAGUAGAGCCCGAAGUCCACGAGGCAGCCGAUGGCCGGCUCGCCGUCGAUGAGCACGUGCGCCUCCGGCAGGUGCCAGCCGCGCGGCCUGACGAACAGCUUCGCGGUGCGCUCGUCGAGCUUGUACACCCGGCCGCCGCGCGCCGCGUCGCGGAAGCUUAUGGUGCCGGCCACGGCGUCCCGCAGGUUCACCUGCCCGCGCAUCAGGUUCUCCCACGUCGGCGCCAGCGCGUCCUCGAAGUCAGCCUGCCACGUCCACGUCACGUUUUUACUUUGUUACAUGCACGUACCUUUGGGCCCUGGUGCUGCACUUGUACGUACGUACGGCCACGCGGGCUUACCAUGAAGACCUUGGCGCCGGAGUUGAGCGCGUUGAUGACCAUCUUCCUCGGGUCGGCGGGGCCGGUGAUCUCCACGGUCCGGUCCGCGAUGGCCGGGGGCACGGGCGCGCACGCCCAUUCUCCCUCCCGGACGAACCUCGUGGAGGGGUCGAACCGUGGCAGCUCGCCGGCGUCGUAG
rnacentral:rRNA from 1 species